UUCCUGUUUUAUUUUUCCUCUAAAUCCUCUCCCGCUUAAACCUUGUAAAGCCGCUCAAACUUUUCAACAAAAUAUUCUAAAUUGGCAAAACAAUAUACGCUCAAACAAUAUACUCUUGAAAUUGGCACCCAGCAUCUCCAUCUCCCUAUAUCUCAACCGAUGACCAAAAUCGUCGGCACCGUCACAGUAGCUGACACCUUCACAAUCACCGAUAAGUUUCUGUCUCUAUUUAUGAUUCGAUUGGGUGGAUUAGGGGUUGAUGAAAAAUUAUUGUUGGUUAGGUCUAGGGUUUCGAUUAUCGAAGUAUAAUCGCCGGCACCAUCUCAAUCGCUGCUAAAUUUUAUUCCGAGCCACUACAAUACUUUUUUUUGGGUUGUUGUUGCUCAAAAAAUAGACUUUAAGACAUCUUGUUAAUUUUUUAAAUUCUAUGAAAUUAAGCAAUGAGAAUAACGCAUCGUCCUUAAGAUUUACUGGCCAUUAUAUGGAAUUUUAUAGUUUCAUAUGUUAUAGUUUCAGUCGUUGUCCUAUGUUAUCUAUUUGAUAUAUAAAAAAUAUAGUAAUGAAGUGCUUUUCUAUCAUUCAAGGCAUUUUGUGCAAUUUGUUCCUUUAUUCUUCACUAAUACCAAUCAUUGUUGUUAGGGACAUGUAUUAGGAAAUUUUUCCCGUUCUUGAUAGUCCCAGUCGUCUAUUUGAUGUGCGAAGUCUUCAACUAUUUAUUCACUUUGAAGUUUAAAGUACACUUUAGCACCUCUGAUGUGCUUCUUAUCUAGUUUUAGCAUUUGUGUGGUGAGAAACUAGGAUUGCAAUUGCUUGAACUAUUAGAUUCAGUUAAUUACAGUUUCGAAACCUCUCUGAGAUAUAUAUUGCUAAAUCCUGUUAUAAGAGAUUUUUUUAUAUUUCUGUAUAAGCACUGCUUCUACCCUUAAAUUUGGAAAUCUCCGAGCAGAAAAAUGUUGCACUCUACUAAAAUAAUAUGUUGGUUUUAAAAGAAAAGACUUGUACAUGAUCAGUUUGAGCAUAUCUACAACUUUUUUCAAUAUCAGGUUUCUGGAGAGUAUAUCUUCUAUUACAAAUAUUUGUCGGACUUUCUUCUCAUGAUAUCUUUUUUUUUUUUGAUAAGGUAGAUAUUUAAGCAUACAAGGAGGAAACCAGUCAAAUGUCUAAUUUUCUUUACUAUUGCUUAACAAAGUUAUUGAGGCAUUGCUAUUGUUUAACUCUCCAUCUUCUCUUUUUAUAUAGGUUUCGAGAUUGUUACUGGCAUUAUUCUCCUUCACUUUCUUAUCUUCAUCGUCAAAGUAUUUUGCUUACUAGGUACCCAAAUACUUGAGCCUAAGUCUAUCUGUGAUUUGUGAUGUCCAACUAUGACAGUUUGUGAUUUGUAGAGAUAAUUUUUUUUUUAUUUUUUUUAUUUUUUUUUAUUUUUUAUGUUUGCUAUAUUGUGAUUUGUGAUUUUUGGAUGCUGUUAAAUUGGCGGAGAAUUGAUUGAAUUGAUUCCUCUAGUUUUCCUAAUGUUAUAUGUUUAAUUUCGAUUGUUAUAAGCUAUUCAUAGCACGCUAUACUUAAAGAAAAUCUUGUUAAUUUAAGUGUAAAGUAAUUCUAUUUGAAUUGUUGAUUUAGGUGGAUAUGAACUAUUCAGUUUGUUAGCUUUUGAGAUCUCUUCGUGUUAAUGCUCCAUUAAUUCGACUAUGUUAAUUUUUUUCCACAUAUAUUUGUGACUUGUAUUCUGUUCUAAAAUUGUUGUUAGUUCUUGUUUCGCCUUUUGCACUUUAAAUUAUGAAAGUGUUAUUUAACAGUUGAUAUGCUAGGAAAAUGUUUUUUAAGAUUUUCUAGUACUUGUUAAGAAAAGAAUAAUUUUAAGUUUAUUUAUUUAAAUAUUAAAUGAAUACAUGCUAAAAGCCUCUUCUUCUGUUAUUUUUUAUCCAUUCACUUACUCAUCCUUAGUGUUACUGCAUGGGAUAUCCUUUAUCUUUUAUAUUACUAAAGGCAGCUUGUUUUAUUUUCAUUGAGGUGAGCCCUAGUUGUACAUCACGUUAGAACUGAUGAACGAUUGACUUUCAUUCAGGGAGAAAUACAUGAAGUAUAAUAUCGUUAGACUAAUAUGCUGAUGUAAAUGCUGUUAUUUAUUGCUGAAAACUUGCACAAUGAAAGUAGGAAAGUAAUUUAUCAUGGAUGUUGAGUUAGACAACGCAAACAUAUGAUACCGUAUUUCUAGAAAAUACAGGACAAUGCAAUGACUGCCAUGGAAAAUAUUUAGUAUUAUUGGAUAGUAUAAGAACAACACCACCAAAAGUAAUAAUAAUGAUGAUGAUAUAAUAAUAAUAAUGAUAACAGAGUAUGACAAUUAUAAUCAAACUUCUGAUUGCAAGGCAAAAAGGAGAAAAGUUACUGUCAUGUCCAAAAUGCCGAACCUAAGUUAGUAGCCUGAAGUGUCUUACUUUAUGAAUUAGAAGUCAUAAUCUUGAGGAAAACUCUUAUUAACUGAAAUACAUGUGUAGCUAGAUAAUAUAUGUUUUAAAUUUAUAAAUCCUUCUAAUGUAAAGACAUCUACGAUAUGGAGUUCAGAAAUAUUAUCUUACUAAAAUCAUAUCCAUCUUAGUGGUAUCAAUCAUGGUGUAAUGAAAGAAGUCUCAGUGGAUGGCUUACCAGAAAAAUGUGAAGUUACAUCUUAAAUCAAUGAAAGCUCUGAGUAGUCACAUUAAUUUGUUCUUCCCAGUAAUUUGGAUUAUGAUCUCUAAAUAACAACGCAUAUUUGUGAUGCUUAUUAGUGUUAAUUGCUUUUGAGUGAAUGGACUUCAUGAAAGAACACAACAAAUAACUAUAUAUUAAGAUGAAUUGCUUUCUUCUAUUUCACUUUUGGUGUAAAGAGAGUUGGUAGAAGAAGUAGAAUCACUGUUAAACAUCAUAGAAUCCCUGUAAGAUUAACUAGGGAACUUUUGUGCUCUUUUUGUGAAUUGUAAAUAUGGCUCUUCCACUGCCGUUGUGCUAAUGGAAUAUAAUUUGUUAUCUUUCUUGAAAAAGAAAAAGAAACAAAGAGACCAAGUCAAAAACUUUGGAACAUUACGUGCUGAAAUAUUUGAUGAUACAAAUAUUCAGACAUGAGGUGCUGCUCAUGGUGUUGACAUAAAGGGAAAGUUCUUUGUCUAGUUCUAUUGGUUCUCUUUCCUUUAAUAGUUAAAUUCUUAGGACUGUAGGGUGGUUUAAACAUCAAUCUUUAUCAUUGUAGAGCUGAUAUUUUUUAAUAGAGCCUACUAUACAUAGUGAGCAUAUUGUUAUACAACUGAUACUCUAUUAGUUAAUCUUGAAGACAAGAGAUAUGGUUUCUCUUUGUUAACUGUUAAGAUGUAUGUUUGGGAUCAUGAGUUUAUACUUAAAACUAAUGAUCAACUGCAGAAGAACUGCACAGUUGUUCAACAACAGUAGAGGGACAACUACACAAUUGUGCAACAACUGCAGAAGGAAAACUAUGCAGUUCUGCUACAACAGUUCUAUUUUUCGGGUAACAUAUGCUUGUCUUGGCUUUUGUACGUAUAGCAACCUUGAAGAUAGCUUCUUUCAACUUAUUAGGACACUCUUCUAUUUGUGUAUUUGUAUUUUUGUCGCACAGUAACGGGAAAAUCUACAUAAAGUUCAUUAGGUUUGCAUCUUCUGGUUGUGUUGCACAUUGUGAAACUAACAAAACUUCGGCAUUAGGAUCAGUUGCUUGCUUCCUCUCAUGUGAUGAUUCUUGAUUUCCUACAGCGUUAACUUUAGUUCCAAUAUGAGCACUUUGUUGUAAUUUUUUGACAUUGUUGUGACAUUUAUAAUAAUAUUCUUGCUUUGCUAUUCUCUUUUAGUAGCGUAAUAUAUCUGGAGUUAGGAUCCUUGAUGUCAUCAGAUGAUUCAGAUCUUUUUCAUUUUAGGUAAUUCAGAAGCAAAAAAGGUCUGUGGGCCUACUUUACUGAAAGAUAAUUGGAAACUUUCAAUGGAGAAGACAGUUGAUGUGCCGUUUAAUAAAUGCCUCAAAGUAGCAAUGCCACCUCAGGUGAACAGGUAACUCAAUUUUAUAAGCUUUAAACAUUUUUAAUUAAAUUUUAUUAUAUAAAAGUAUUGUUACCUAACAUGUUAAUAUUUAUUAGAUCCCGGACGCCAAUAGUGGACAUGAACAUCAAGGAUACCUAGUGUUACUGAAAAUGCUCAACUUUCUCACGGUACUACUCUUUGUCCUUCGUCGCUAUUGUUUGAGUUUUGAUGCUUCGAUUUUUAUUAAUUUGUUAUUGUAUUUGGGCUUACUUGGAUACUUCUUACUUUUAUAUAUUUCCGUUUCCCACUUGUUAUGAAUGUCGUAAAAUUGUGAUAGUAGUUUCCUGCCUGAAUCACAUUCACCUUUCUGUGGAUUUAACACCAUUGAAGUAAGAAAAAUCAGAUCUUUCUAUGGGACUAAAAGAUGGAUUGUAAACCAGAAGCUUCUGUUGCACCCAUCUUCUUGUUGAUGACAAUCAUGACUUUCUAGGGACUGUUUUCUUGGUUGAGCGCUGCAUCUAUCUGCUUGUUUGGUUAGCAAACACUAAAAGGUUAGGGGGUAUAGAGUAUAUAAGCCUAACUAGGAGACGAUUUGUUACCUGUAGAAGAGUGCUAUCUAAUUCAACUGAUGAGAAUUAUUCGUGUGGAAUUAAAGUUGUUUGACAUUGGUUUGUAGGAAAUAAAACUGAAGGGUUUUUUGAAAAGAGGCUAAUUUGGUGAAACCAAAGACGAUCCAUGACACUUAACAAACCCAUGCUACAUUUUUCUGUCAUGGUUAUACAAAGAAUGAAGUGAGGAAUUAGUGUAUAAGAGUGAAGGUGGACAGAGGGUAUCUUUUAUUGGAAUAAAAAUUUGUAUUAUAUAAUUGGAACAUAAGAGUGAAGCAGAGUUUUUCAUGCCUGUCUUUUCUGAAGUGUACAAUAGACCUUCUGGAAUUUAAAUUGCUAAAUAUUUCUAUUUACUCUCUAAAACUGUAUGUUCAUAUGCUAUGAUGACAUGUUUCAAGUCUAAUGUUCUUGCAUCAUUCCAAAUUCAUCAAACUCAUGGCUCCCAAAAUAUCAUCACUUUAUCUCAUGACAUGUUUCAAGUUUAUUUUGAAUCAUUCCUAACAUCGAACUCCUCUCACAAAGACAUCAUCAGUUUAUCUCUUCGUUAAAUUUGGUUAUUGCCUUGUGAGUGUUACUAAACAUUUUCCUAUGUAUAUGUAUUAGCUUGGCAACUGAGAUGUUAGCUCUUUCAGUGUGAAAACAAGCAAAUGCUAGCUUUUCCGGCUUAUCCCUGUGGAGAAGAAUAGCUAGGACUAGAGGUCUCGGUAAUUUCCUUUUGUGGGGCAUAUAUUUCGUCCUUUGACAUAGUUAUUUUGUAAUUUCAGGUCAUACAGUCUAAUGUUCGAUAAUUUAGCGGGAGGAAGAUUUCAAAAUGAUGAAAAAUUGCGGAAAUCAUUUGAAGACCAUCAUUCUUUGGAUUAGUUAUAUAAUGACAUUAGUUAUUUAGUUUGAACAAUAUAUGUUUAUUUUUUUUUAGUUACUAUGACAUUAAUAUCUUUUAUUAGCACUUCAUUUUGUUAAGAUUUAAUGAGAUAUAUUAUGUUUUUUUUUGAAUUAAUAUUAAUAUAUUUUAUUAUUUGGAUCAUAUUUCAGACGAAUGUAAUAACUAUUAUUAAUGGUGGCUAAAUUAAUGCUAUUACUGCUA
rnacentral:lncRNA from 1 species